ACAACAGGAACUCCUCUGAAGCUCUUUUGGAUGCAGAGGUCUGACUCUCUCUGGCUCUAGUUACCCAGGAAGGGCUGCCUCAUGCCAGCCCAGAUGGUCAUGGGCCCCACUAGCCCAUUUAGAGCUUGGGGUCAAACAUAGUAGCAUUAGGAUUUGAGAAGGAAAGGCAUAGCUGGGGAAAUUUCCAUUUUGAGAUCUGGGAAAAGAAUUGAAGAUGAUGAGGUACCAGGAAUUGGUACCUUGGUGACCUCAGAUCCUGUUUGUGACCAAAUUUGCCACAUGAGGUACAGGGCCCCCCCAGCAAUGUGGGAUCCAAGCCACGUCUGCAACCUACACCACAGCUUACUGCAACUCCAGAUUCUUAACCCACAGCAAGGCCAGGGAUCAAACCCACAACCUCAUGGUUCCUAGUCAGAUUCAUUAACCACUGAGCCACGAGGGGAACUCCAUGAACUCUUAGUUUCCAUGGAAUUAACUAUGAUAUUUAGGGUCAAUACUUAGCAUCUUUGUUAAGAAUCGGGAUGGGUUAAGUUUUUUAAUUUUGAUGAUUUUGGGGGCCUUACUAUCACUGGAAGUUGUGGUCCCUCCCAGGGUUAGCAAAUUCCUACAGAUAGCAAACAACUCCCUUGGCAGUUUCAUAGACAAACCAGCCAAUCCAAGACCAUACCGCAACCACAUGCUUUAUCUGCUGCUCACAGUGUCUCACCUUUGGCCACUGUUCCUCUGUCCUAAUUGCCCCAGGCCUAGGUACCUGACAACUAGGAAGAGUCCCUAUAUCUGAGAGUCUGCAGAAAUUAUUCAAACUAGACUGUCCUAAACCUGCUUACCCUGCCUCACCUAUUCCUUCCUGUGAAAACCAUUAUGAAGGUUCUUGCCCAUGUUCCCCCCUCAAUUUCCUUUUCUCCUGACUGGCCCUUAUGCUCCUCUAGGUGGCCCUGUGUGGCAUGAUGUGCCCCUUCUUUUGGGAACUGUCAAUAAAAAAUUGUCUUUUCAGUGA
rnacentral:lncRNA from 1 species